GCCCCGAUAGCUCAGUCGGAUAGAGCGGCUCCCUCCUAAGGAGCAGGCCCCUGGUUCGAAUCCAGGUCGGGGCA
rnacentral:tRNA from 2 species